ACCUGGCUAUAUAUGUAUAUUUUUAAAUUUUAUUUACUUAUUUUGGGGGGAGGGCAGAGAGAGAGAGAGAGAGAGAGAGAGAGAAUCCCAAGAGAAAAUCCCAAUCCAGGCUCCAUACUGUCAAUAUACAGCCCGAUGCAGGGCUCGAACUCACGAACCAAGAGAUCGUGACCUGAGCCAAGAUCAAGAGCCAAGACACUUAACUGACUGAGCCCCCAGGUGUCCCAGCCUGGAUAUAUCCUUAAAAUGAGCAGGGAUGUGGGCGUUGCAGGAGUGAUCCUAAGGGCAGGGUCAGGCGCGGGACUUCAGAACGCAAAGACUGAUGUUGACCGCCUGGCGUCCUUGAUCCCUUACCCAAGCCUUGCUCAGGGGACAGCUGUGGGUGGGACGGUAGGGUUUGCCCUGCGGGGACGUGGUGGAGACACGUGCUCUCGGACACCAUGGCGGGUAGACUGAGCAACUGUGGUGCACGGACCUUGAUGGGGCAAAACCCAGAGGUGUCCCCACAGACCUCACCGGGUAGGGCCCGUGGUUAGUGCUGGUGCAGAGCAAGACCCUGCUGGGUGCUUCUUGAACCUUUCCUCUCAGCCGAAGGUAUUGCUAGGUUAUUCUGGAAAUUGGGUUUUAAUCACCUCUUUCUCCAGGAUUUCUGGGGCAAACACGUACUGUCUGUUCAGAACGCGGAGGGCUGUAUAAAACUAUCAGUUGUGGUUUCUGUUUUGGCACAGGUCGGACGCAGAGGGAUUGUUCCCAUGGCACAGAACCCGGGAGAAUGUAGCCAGCCUGCCCACGACUCUGCCCGUGCUGGUGGCCGUGAGAAGUGCGGGCGCCCAGCUCCGCGGAGAGGGUGGGCGCGUCCAGGGAGCCCACAGAGGCAUUGCUGUUCGAAGCAAGAAGAUGCAGAAGGGGACCGUCCACGGGGCCUCGGGACCCACCAGCCUCAGCACCCAUGGGGGCUUAGACAGCAGACGUGUUCCUGACGGAGGCAAAGUGUCCGAGGUCAGGGGCAGAUGGGGUCCAGUUCAGGGCAGAGCCUUCCUGCCCGGUCCUCCUGUGCGGGAGAGAGGGCUCCGUCUUCUCUUUCCGUAAGGGCACUAGUC
rnacentral:lncRNA from 1 species